AAGGACCAAAUAUUUAAUAUAUUUAUAUUUUAAUUUAUUGAAUAUUAUUAAAGUUAAUUACUUUGGCAGAUUAG
rnacentral:tRNA from 1 species